rnacentral:lncRNA from 1 species
CUGGUAUUGGGCCCUUUGAACUUCAAUUAAGUAAAACAGUGUGGUUUGGAAUUGGGCUGCACAUGGUAAUAAGCUGCAGAUGCAUUUUGGCUAGUUGGAUUAGAAGUGAAACUGGAUUCAAAAUUAGUGAUACGCAGUGUUUCAAGAGCAGCUUUUUGGGGGUCUUCACUCCAUCACUUCAUUUAGAGCCAGGAACACAUAUGAGCCGAGAGAGCAUUUGAAGAACUUCAAUGGCUUUUGAUGGUGACCCUGACCGGUGGAGAAGAAGUCCUGACCAAGAGGGACCGGAGAUGACGGAGGAGCUGCCCGUUCAAGUUAAUCGGAGG